AGAAAAGGUUCAACUCAAGAAGAAAUAUUAAACGUUUUAGCAGAUCACGAUCCUGCAUAUUUAAAGAAAAUAUUUAUUGAUGAAUUUAUAGGCUAUGGUGUUUUUACUACGCAAAAUGUAUCCAAAGGCAGUAUCCUCCUGUAGUACAAGGGGAAGCUUUUAUCAAAAAAAGAGGCAGAGGUAAAGCGAGAAGAAUACUGUCGUAGAAAGUUAGGAUGCUUUAUUUUUGAUAUAAAGCAUAAUGGAAAAAAAUUGAGUAUUGAUGCUACAUUGUCAUCCUGCCUUUGCCGUUUUGUAAAUGAUUCACCACCUGCAUAUGCGAACUGCACUAUGAAAAAAUUCGAAAAGGGUGGAAUGCCAGGAAUUUUUUUGGUAGCAACAAAAGAUAUUCCUACUGGUACAGAGCUACGAUACAAUUACAAUGACACAAACUUACCAUGGC